rnacentral:rRNA from 1 species
UACGUAGGGUGCAAGCGUUAAUCGGAAUUACUGGGCGUAAAGCGUGCGCAGGCGGUUUUGUAAGACAGAGGUGAAAUCCCCGGGCUCAACCUGGGAACUGCCUUUGUGACUGCAAGGCUUGAGUGCGGCAGAGGGGGAUGGAAUUCCGCGUGUAGCAGUGAAAUGCGUAGAUAUGCGGAGGAACACCGAUGGCGAAGGCAAUCCCCUGGGCCUGCACUGACGCUCAUGCACGAAAGCGUGGGGAGCAAACAAG